GGACGAACGCUGGCGGCGUGCCUAAUACAUGCAAGUCGAACGGUCUUUCUAUGGAAGCUUGCUUCCACUGAGAAGAUAGUGGCGAACGGGUGAGUAACACGUGGGUAACCUGCCCAUAAGAGGGGGAUAACAUCCGGAAACGGGUGCUAAUACCGCAUAGUUUUCUUGAUCGCAUGAUUGAGAAAGGAAAGACGGCCUUUGUGCUGUCGCUUAUGGAUGGACCCGCGGCGUAUUAGUUAGUUGGUGAGGUAACGGCUCACCAAGACGAUGAUACGUAGCCGACCUGAGAGGGUGAUCGGCCACAUUGGGACUGGGACACGGCCCAAACUCCUACGGGAGGCAGCAGUAGGGAAUCUUCCGCAAUGGACGAAAGUCUGACGGAGCAACGCCGCGUGAGUGAAGAAAGGUUUUCGGAUCGUAAAACUCUGUUGUCAGAGAAGAACAAGUUGGAGAGUAACUGCUCCAGCCUUGACGGUAUCUGACCAGAAAGCCACGGCUAACUACGUGCCAGCCGCGGC
rnacentral:rRNA from 1 species